rnacentral:rRNA from 1 species
AGAGUUUGAUCCUGGCUCAGGAUGAACGCUGGCGGCGUGCCUAACACAUGCAAGUCGAACGAAGCAAUUGAAGGAAGUUUUCGGAUGGAAUUCGAUUGACUGAGUGGCGGACGGGUGAGUAACGCGUGGAUAACCUGCCUCACACUGGGGGAUAACAGUUAGAAAUGACUGCUAAUACCGCAUAAGCGCACAGUACCGCAUGGUACAGUGUGAAAAACUCCGGUGGUGUGAGAUGGAUCCGCGUCUGAUUAGCCAGUUGGCGGGGUAACGGCCCACCAAAGCGACGAUCAGUAGCCGACCUGAGAGGGUGACCGGCCACAUUGGGACUGAGACACGGCCCAAACUCCUACGGGAGGCAGCAGUGGGGAAUAUUGCACAAUGGGCGAAAGCCUGAUGCAGCGACGCCGCGUGAGUGAAGAAGUAUUUCGGUAUGUAAAGCUCUAUCAGCAGGGAAGAAAAUGACGGUACCUGACUAAGAAGCCCCGGCUAACUACGUGCCAGCAGCCGCGGUAAUACGUAGGGGGCAAGCGUUAUCCGGAUUUACUGGGUGUAAAGGGAGCGUAGACGGCGAAGCAAGUCUGAAGUGAAAACCCAGGGCUCAACCCUGGGACUGCUUUGGAAACUGUUUUGCUAGAGUGUCGGAGAGGUAAGUGGAAUUCCUAGUGUAGCGGUGAAAUGCGUAGAUAUUAGGAGGAACACCAGUGGCGAAGGCGGCUUACUGGACUGUAACUGACGUUGAGGCUCGAAAGCGUGGGGAGCAAACAGGAUUAGAUACCCUGGUAGUCCACGCCGUAAACG